GUGGGGAAUAUUGGACAAUGGGGGCAACCCUGAUCCAGCCAUGCCGCGUGUGUGAAGAAGGCCUUUUGGUUGUAAAGCACUUUAAGCAGGGAGGAGAGGCUAAUGGUUAAUACCCAUUAGAUUAGACGUUACCUGCAGAAUAAGCACCGGCUAACUCUGUGCCAGCAGCCGCGGUAAUACAGAGGGUGCGAGCGUUAAUCGGAAUUACUGGGCGUAAAGCGAGUGUAGGUGGCUCAUUAAGUCACAUGUGAAAUCCCCGGGCUUAACCUGGGAACUGCAUGUGAUACUGGUGGUGCUAGAAUAUGUGAGAGGGAAGUAGAAUUCCAGGUGUAGCGGUGAAAUGCGUAGAGAUCUGGAGGAAUACCGAUGGCGAAGGCAGCUUCCUGGCAUAAUAUUGACACUGAGAUUCGAAAGCGUGGGUAGCAAACAGGAUUAGAUACCCGUGUAGUCC
rnacentral:rRNA from 1 species